rnacentral:rRNA from 1 species
UACGGAGGGUGCGAGCGUUGUCCGGAAUCAUUGGGCGUAAAGGGCGCGUAGGUGGCCUGCUAAGCGUGCGGUGAAAGUCGGGGGCUCAACCCCCGAUCGGCCGUGCGAACUGGGAGGCUUGAGCACUGUAGAGGCAGGCGGAAUUCCGGGUGUAGCGGUGGAAUGCGUAGAGAUCCGGAAGAACACCGGUGGCGAAGGCGGCCAUCUGGACCGGCACUGACGCUGAGGCGCGAAAGCGUGGGGAGCAAACAGG